rnacentral:rRNA from 1 species
UACGGGGGGGGCAAGCGUUGUUCGGAAUUACUGGGCGUAAAGGGCUCGUAGGCGGCCAACUAAGUCAAACGUGAAAUCCCUCGGCUUAACCGGGGAACUGCGCUUGAUACUGGAUGGCUUGAGAUUGGGAGAGGGAUGCGGAAUUCCAGGUGUAGCGGUGAAAUGCGUAGAUAUCUGGAGGAACACCGAUGGCGAAGGCAGGUCUCUGGGCCACUACUGACGCUGAGAAGCGAAAGCAUGGGGAGCGAACAGG